rnacentral:misc_RNA from 1 species
UGGAAAAUGCUCCAGGGCAUAAGAGACACUUGCACCUCCAGUACUAUGACCAACCAAAAUAACCUUUUCAUCCUCAGAAACAUUUUCCAAAUAAUCAAGCAAAGGUUUGGAGUGGUCUUUCAAUGUUGUGACACUGUUUGUCUCUGUCAGAUCAAUACCAGAUCCUAUGAGAUCUAUGGCAGUGGGAAGCAAUCCUGCUUCUUCCAACAGGGCAAUUGUUUUGUACCAACACCAAGCUCCAAACCCUUCUCCAUGUAUCAGUAUGAACUUCUUUAACUUGAUAUUUUCCAGAAAGUCUGGCACCUGUUUUCCGUU